UUUUUUUUUUUUUGGUUUUUUGAAAAAAAAGAGGUGGCUGGGUUAAAAUAUGUUUCAUGAUGUUACAUCUUCAUACAAAUUUGCUUCAACUUUUUUAAGUUUCAUGCUGAUGCUAACCAUGACAAUGAAUCUGGCUGGCAACCUUACUGCUUGUAAAUUCAGCACCCUAAUCCCAGGAGAAACCAGUCAUUUUUGCACCAGUCAAAGUACUAGGAAGAAAUAAUUCUCCUUUGAUAGAUAGCUUGUCUUCAAUGAAAAAUGAUAGAGCCUGAAGGUUACAAACACUAAAGACAACUCUUCUAAGACCUUAAUAUAAGCACCAGCUCGAACAUUAAAAAAACCUUAAGGCAUCCUUUCAAGUUUGAACCGUAUAAAUAUCUCCAUUGAAAACCAAACGGGGACAUGUAGACAAGGCUCUCCACGCUUCCUUUGAAGUCAGUACAACAGCUCUUUCUUUUUGUCAUCUCUUCUUUAAAUCAAACCAACGUCUCUUUCCAAUCCAACCUCUUAGUCCUAUCUUGUUGCCUGGACAAAUUUGGAAUGGAAAUUCAUUUCCAGCAACAAAAGCAGCAUAAAAAUGCAAGCAUUCCAGUUAGCAAAGCAAGCAAAUUCAAGGGGAGAGGUAGGCCAAACAGCAACAGUAACAAGUUUGUUGGUGUUAGGCAAAGAACUUCUGGUAGAUGGGUGGCUGAGAUCAAAGACACAACACAAAAGAUAAGGAUGUGGCUAGGAACCUUUGAGACAGCUGAAGAAGCUGCACGAGCUUACGAUGAAGCUGCUUGCCUGCUUCGUGGAUCCAACACCCGAACCAACUUCAUCACUCAUGUGUCCGUGGAUUCUCCUCUUGCUUCCCGGAUUCGAAAUCUCCUCAACAACAAAAGGAGAGACCAACAACAACAUAGUGAAGAAGAAACUGCGGAAGCCUCUACUCCACCAACUAGUACCAUUACUACCACAAGUAGUACUAUCACCACUAGCAGCAGCAGCAGCAGCAGUUCUGGCAUGAGUGAUAAUUACUCCAGUUCAAUUCAUGAAACGGAUCACUUGUUUGAUGAUGCAUAUAAACCGGAUUUGCGCAAUUGCAUUGAGGAAUUCAAGCUUGGUUCUUCUCAGUCUGAUCUUUCACGGGGUUUUGGACCUUUAUUCGAUCGGUUUUCAUAUGCACAGGAAGUACUGGAUUUUCCGAAAAGUGUGGUACUACCCGAGGCAGGUGACUCGGAAUUCUCAGAAUUUGAUAGGAUGAAGGUGGAGAGACAGAUAUCAGCAUCUCUAUACGCAAUUAAUGGGGUUCAAGAGUACAUGGAAGCUGUCUAUGAUCCUAUUGAAGCUUUAUGGGAUCUUCCACCACUAUAAUCAUUGCAGAAUUUGGUGGUUUUAAUGAACAUAGAAUCCCCUUCUCUUUCUUUUCUUCCCCUAGUUCUGCUUUCACUUUAGACUUGCUUGUUAAGUUGCAAAGACAAAAUACCAGCUAGAGAUGAAGUUGAAAUCUUGUUUCUUUUCUUAAAAAAAAUAUAUUUGUUAUGCUGUUUUUCAAAAUGUUAACAGCAGAAUACACGGAGAAGUGAUCCUGCUGUUUUUGGAACGUCAGAAAAUCAUCGAUGAAUGACAAGUCGAAGCAAUCAUGGCGAUUAAAAUAUACCUUAUGGUGUCCUUGGUAACCUCUCCUUUUCGUUGGAGUAGAUAUAGAUGUCAUCAAUGUUUGUAGUCAUUGAAAAGCAUAUAUCAACCUCUACCAGCUCAGACAGGGAACUCUGGGGCCCUGCACCCAACAACUAUCCAGAUAAGUUGCAGUGUCUUCUAAUGUGCAAUCCUUGGAUUACUCAGGCUAUCCUCCAUUUUAAUCUGUAUAUUGAAAUCUUUGAUUAUGGCAUUAGUAAUUUCUUGUCAGCAAAGUUUUGAUCAUUUCGCUCCAGGCAUGUCAAUUUUUCACAUAGAUCUGAACCACCUUCCUCCAUGCUAUUUAUGAACUUGCUAGUCACUUUGAAGCAUCCCAAUGAUCUUUGAUGUUGAUAGCUAUUCUUCAUAGAAAUUGGUAUUCUGUGAAAUAAAGGGCUAUUGUAUAAUGCAAUGCUAAACACCUCAUGCUCGCUACAAAAGAGCAGGGCAUAUAAAAAUGCGACGACAGAAUUUCCUGCAUGUAACCUAUUUCAGGGAAGUUAAAUUCCGAUCUGCUUAACUAACCUAAUUCAACAUAACAUCCAUGUCUUUUGUAUGUUCACCUGUUGACCUUGCUGAAGUAUUUUUGAAUUAAAAAGGUUGUUCCCCUCUGAGGCAUGCUCCACAAGCAGUGUCCGCACUCCAGUUUUUUUGGAGGAGUUCAAAUUAUGUUCAAAAACAUCUUAAUUAGACAUUAGGCAGUGGAUUCUGAUAAAGGUUACUCCAGCUUGCUAGGAGCCUUCGCCUAGGAUUUAAGAUAUCUUUUAUAGAAAAAUACCUACCGCUUUUUCUAACAAAAACAUUAGAUCAUUGUUCAACGUUGUGGUUCAAAUGAAAGUUUAUAUAUAUAUAUAUAGAAAAAAUUUAAAUUAGGUAGAGGUUGAUCUAAUAUGAACUGAUCAGCUUGACGAAUUCAAAGACAAACAAAAUGACUGGAAAAAAAAACAUAGUUUGAUUAAAAAAAUUCAAUACGAUAUCUUUUUUUAAAUAUUGAGAUGACAACAUAUUAGAUUGACCCGAGUUAACUCGAAUUAACCUACCAAAUCUAUAAUGAUGGUCAUGAGACCAUGAUAACAGCGCAAAAAGUAAAUCAAAGCAAAUUAUAAAGUCUAAUUCUCAACCAAUUUAAUGUUAAAGGAUGAAAUUGAAAAAAAAUAUUAAUUAAAAAAAGGAUCUAAACACAGACCUAGAUCAACCCGGGUUAACCUCCCGCAACUCGAGUCAUGAGAACAAGAUAACCUUAUAUAAAGCAAAUCAAAACAAAUUAUAAAACUUAAUUAUCAAUCAACUCAAUUUUAAAGGAUGAAAUUGAAAAAAAAUCAAUUAAAAACAUAGACACAAAAAACUGAGUUGAGUCAACCCGAGUUAAUACAUCAAACUUCUGACCCAGAUUAUGAGAUCAAGAUAACCUCAUAGAAAUCAAACUGAAAACUAUUCACGUCAACCCAUGUUAACCAAUAAACCUAGAACCCAUGUCAUAAGGUUAGGAUAACAUCAUAAAAAAUAAAUCGAAACAAAUUAUGAAACACAAAUUUCAAUCAAACAAAUAUUGAAAGUUGAAAUUAAAAAAAAAAUCAAUUUUAAAAAAAUAAACUGAGUAAACUCGGGUUAACCUGUUAAACUCAUGACUUGGGUCAUAAGAUCGGGAUAAUCUCAUAGAAAGCAAAUCAAAGCAAAACAAAUCGUGAAGUCUAAUUUUCAAUUAAUAAAAUAUUGAAGGAUGAAAUUGAAAAAAAAAACUCGAAUCAAUCGGGUAAACCUGUCAAACCUGCGACCUUGAUUAGGAGACUGAGAUAACCCCAUAAAAAGCAAAUCAAAUAAAAUAACAAAGCUUGAUCUAAAAAAACAAAAUGUUAUUAAAAGAUAAAAUUGAAAUUGAAAAAAAAACAUAGUGCUUUAUUAAAGUGAAUAGAACAAAAAUAACUCAUUUUAAAAAAAACUAGUGUUUUUUAUUUAAAAAAAUAAAAAACAAAGCACUAUUAAAGUGAAUAGUAUUUUGUAAGGUGGUCCAUAAUAAAAACAUCAACUCUUAGUGUUUUGUUAAUAACUAGAUUUGGAACCCGUGCUUCGCUGCGGGUCGAAUUAAAAACCAAUUAAUGCAUUAAAAACUAUGAACAUCGUUAUUUUUUUUCCAUGCGAUAAAACAUUUGAAAUGAUGAUUAAAAACUAGAACAAUGUAUCAAAUCAAAAUAAUUGACCAUCAUUUGCAUUAAUAAAUGAAGAUAAAGGAUGGUGUCACUUAUUUAACCUUGCGGACCAAAAGUAGACCAGUCAUUCCAUUCAAAUGGCGAUCUAGUUAAAAAUAAUUUCACAUCGCUAUCAUUUUAACCUCCGCCUAACUCUAGCUUAAAUGAGAAAAAAUGGAUUGAUAAAUGAUUAAAUUAAAAGAAUAGGGAGUUAAAUGAAAAGAUGGUGAUCUAGUUAAAAAAAAAAAGUUCACGUCGUCGUCGUUUUAACUUAUGUCUAAUCCUAGCUUAAAUGUGAAAUAAUGGACUGUCAAAUAAUUAAAUAAAAUUAGAGAGUGAAAUUAAAAGAUGGCGACAUAUUGUACAGACCCGGGUUAACACAUGAAAUUUAUAAUCCGAAUAAUGGACAUGAUCACAACGAGUUAACCCGAUUGGAGAAUAUGUCUCUUUCUUUUUUCUUCCCUUAUUCUCUUCCUAAUUAAGUCUUGAGUGGAUCUUAAUUGAUCUAAGGUUAGAUUAAAUUUGGAACUAAAUCGAAGAGUUAUAAAAGAAUUGAAGAUAAAAUUUAAAAAUAUAUUAUAUUGUAUCGACACCGGUUAAUUUGAGUUAACUCAUGAAAUUCACAACUCAGGUUAUGGGCAUAAUACUAAUUAGAUAACUUGUUUGGUCAACAUGUCUUUUUCUUUUUUCAUUUCUUAUUCUCUUUCUAGGUCUUAAUUGGGCCUUAAUUACCCAUAUGUUGAAUGAGAAUGAGAUUAAAUUGUAGAGUUAUAAAAAAAAAUUAGAAAUUAAAUAAAAAAAUUAAAUUUGUGACUAUAUUGAAUUAGCAUAAAAGAACUGGAAAAGAAUUAAAAAAAAAAGGAAUAAAAAAAAAUUAGAUGGCAUGUGCGUUAUUCACGCCAGCAUGCGAAGAGGUUAACAAGGUUGAGACGGCGUGUGCGGCCUCCUACCUGAGCCGACGGUAGUCUUUUUGAUGCCAUAGUGCAUUAUGAACGUGUGCAGUGUGCACAAUGUUUUACACUGUUGAACACCAUCCUUCCGUCUUAGUUUUGUUGAAUCACUUGUUGCAAUUAACUAAGAUUGCAACGUUUAAAUUUCAAAUGACAUUUCAUUUUUUUAUUUUUAUUUUUAAGGGUACCACAAACUUUUAAAUUUUAAUUGAUUAUGCUAUUGGGAGUAACAUAAUUAAUAAAAUAUUUUUUUCAAAAAAAUGAGUGAAAUAAGAUAUAUAUAUAUAUAUAUAUAUAUAUAUAUAUAUAUAUAGUUUAACAUGGGUGUCCGGGUCAGCUUGCGCGCACCUCGACUAAUCCCACGGGCCCUAAAGUUAACGACCAUGUAAGCCUCCAGUAGCCAUCAUAUGAGUAACCAUAGGACUCGAACCUGAGACCAAAGAGGGAGCAAACCUCUUGGUCUCAAACUCUUACCACUACCACUAGACCAAAAAUUUGAAAUUCGCCGAAAAGCAGGUUGAACAGCAGAGCCAAACGCUCCCUUACUUGUACAACAGAUCCCAAAAUCAUAAAAAAAAAAAAAAAAUCUUCUACCAUGCUGUUUGCCUUUGACACUUCUUGUUUUUUUAUCAAAAAAACUCACAGUUCAGAAAAAGAUUAGCCGAUUCAGGUAUUUGGUUUAAUGGAUUGGAUUCAGCUAAGGGCAAGCCAAGCAGGGCCUGGAGAGCACAACGAAGAAUAUAUUGUUUACAUGAUAGACAGAACUAAAUGCAGUACACAUGCUGCGAAAAAAGAAAAAGGAAGGAUUCAAAUCUAUCGAGAAGUUCAAAAAUGGAGCACUUCCUCCAACAAUCAUGCACUUCAGAAACUGGGAUUCGUUGUUUCACUCCAACAUCCUCUCUUACAUGCACAAGAGACACAUACAGAUUCAAGAGAUGUGCAUUUUCAUCAUCAUCAUCUUCUCCUUGUUGACUUUCUUAUAGCAUUUCUUAGUUCUUACAGGCAACCAUAUCAAUUGACGCCUCUAAGAUAUGAUGGCCGUUUCUGGUGGUAAUGCCAUGAUGCUGUGUGUAAUUUUGUUUUACUUUUCAUCUAAUCCAAAAUCUGUAGAUACACGAAUAAAUAUCCUCAUAAAAGCUUUUAUCUAAAUCAUGUUGUCUAUGCAUACAAAGAUUUCCUACUGGGAGAUGAACUUUAACGUAUAAAUGCAUAUUAGGAGGAUUUGUUGAUAGCGCAUGUUUCAUUUCAGAGAAUGAAAAUGAUACAGUUUUUAAGAUCGUACCUCCAAAAGCAUUCAACAAGAACAGAAGCAGCACAGAAUGGAGAGUCAAUUCACAGAUCACUGACAUGGAUAAUAAUGAUGAUUGUACACGUCUAGACAAACACACAUGAAUGAGACGAGAUUAGACAUACAGCUGCUUUUUCCUCGUAAAAUAUUAUCCUAGUAAUCUUCCUCCUCACCUUCCUCAUCACCACCUUCUGCUCCGACUUCCUCAUAGUCUUUCUCAAGAGCAGCAAGAUCUUCACGAGCUUCUGAGAAUUCACCUUCCUCCAUGCCUUCGCCCACGUACCAGUGGACAAAUGCUCGCUUGGAAUACAUGAGAUCAAACUUGUAAUCAAUUCUGGAGAAGACCUCAGCUACUGCUGUGUUGUUGCUUAUCAUGCAAACUGCACGCUGCACUUUAGCAAGAUCACCUCCAGGUACCACUGUUGGUGGUUGGUAGUUGAUACCGCACUUGAAACCAGUUGGGCACCUGAAGUAUCCAUACAUUAAACAAUCAGAUCCCAAGAAAAAAAAAAUCAAAGAAAAUUUUUAACUUGGUUCAAAUCCUUCACUGAAAAUCAAAUGUGUUUGCUAGACUAAUUUUGGUGAACCUAUAUUUCAGUUAUAGGGAACAAUGAUCCUUGUGUCACAAUAACAAAGUUACAGGUUACCCAAAUAGAUCCUAGAAAAACAGCAACCCACCAGUACUUGAAAGUAAGGUUUGUGUCAUCUUGAUCAGUCUUAUAUCUGUUAAGGUAAUGAUCUUAAUUUGUCAAGUUAGAUGAAGAGGAAUUCUCUUAUGUGUGUCAGCAAACUUUGAAUUGAAACUAUUAAUUUAACAAAAUAGAAAUAUGAUAGAACCAUGUUCAAUUAACGUGUACAAACACCAGCCCUUGAUUACCUAACCUAUAGCAAUCAAAAUGCUGUUUUCUUGACUGUUAAUACAGUCCUGAAAUAUAGUUUAAACAUAUCAUGCCACUGCUUUUGAAAGAAAAAAUUUCUAAAUGACAUAAUGCAAGAGUGCAUUUAGGAUCUCAAAAGUCUGAUAUGACAUUUCAUCAGUUUCUUGAAUUGUGUCCAAAUCUUUUGAACGCCAUUUCAAGAUGGUGUGUUUGCAUCUGAAAUGCUAAAAUGUGAACAAAACAAUUCAGACUCCAUUACAUAAGAUGAAAACGAUAUCCUAGAGAGAAUUGAUCAGAAUUAAAUCUCAUAAGUAAAACAAAUGGAUAUGAACUCACCAGUCUACAAAUUGAACUGUCCUCUUUGUCUUAAUGGUGGCAACAGCAGAAUUAACAUCCUUUGGUACAACAUCUCCACGAUACAUGAGACAGCAAGCCAUGUAUUUUCCAUGCCUUGGAUCACAUUUGGCCAUCAUACUUGAGGGCUCAAACACAGCACUUGUGAUCUCAGGAACUGAAAGCUGCUCAUGGUAAGCCUUUGCGGCUGAGAUCACUGGGGCAUAAGAUGAAAGCAUGAAAUGGAUUCGGGGAUAUGGAACAAGAUUAGUUUGAAACUCUGUGAUGUCCACAUUAAUGGCCCCAUCAAACCUCAAGGAAGUGGUUAAAGAUGAGAUAAUUUGGGAUAUCAAACGGUUCAAAUUGUUGUAUGUUGGUCUUUCAAUGUCUAAAGAUCUCCUGCAGAUGUCAUAGAUAGCUUCAUUGUCCAAAAGCACAGCAACGUCUGUGUGUUCAAGGAGAGAGUGAGUGGAGAGCACACUAUUGUAAGGUUCCACGACGGCAGUAGAAACCUGCAUUAUUAGGAAAAUCUACUAUAAGAGAGUUUUUUACCAAUAGGUCAAGCACAGAAAGAGCAUUUAGCCUAAAGCUAUAGCAGAAAUAACUUUUUGUUUGUUCUGUUACAGGCUUCAACAGAAGGAACUACAGAGAAAAGCUUUAAGCAUAAGCAUUGACACCCAGAAUAUUGUGUUGUUGAUGAGGGAGCCUAUCAGAACAAUUGACCAGAACUAUAGAUUUCUGUGCUCAGAACUUUGGACAUUGGUAAUUUCAUCGAUUCUUUCAGAGAAUUUUUCUUAAGCUUCUUGUGCAAAGAAGAAAACUAAUUUAUCUAUGAUUACAUCCACAAGCUUGUCCAUAAACAUCCAGCAGAAGAAUGAUUCCUGGAAUUGUUUUGAAUUUUACAAUUAGCAGAAAAGGAUUGCUACAAUUUACCUCUCCACUGAUUUCUAAUAAUUAUUUGAAGGAAAUACCUGAGGAGAAGGAAAAAUGGUGAAGCCAAGUUUCGACUUCUUUCCAUAAUCCACAGACAAGCGUUCCAAAAGUAGUGAGCCCAAACCAGAACCAGUGCCACCGCCAACAGCAUUAAAUACCAAAAAGCCUUGCAAGCCAGUGCAAUUGUCUGCCAAUUUCCUCACGCGGUCAAGGCAUAGUUCGACAAUUUCCCUUCCCACUGCAGUAUUAAAACACCAACGCGGCAAUUUUGUCAAUGUCAAUAAUGAAAAUGAAAUAAACAGUUAAUUGUGCAUUGCUAAUGCUUUUUUUAUAUACCUGUAUAAUGUCCCCUGGCAAAGUUAUUAGCAGCAUCUUCCUUGCCAGAAAUAAGUUGCUCCGGGUGAAAAAGUUGUCUGUAAGUCCCACUUCUGACUUCAUCAAUGACAGAGGGUUCAAGAUCAACAAAUAUAGCUCUUGGCACAUGCUUGCCUGAACCAGUUUCGCUGAAGAAGGUAUUGAAAGAAUCAUGUUCCACUCCAACUGAGGUGUCACUGCAACAGGAUAUAGAACAGUCUAAUCAAUUUCAAAAAUAGAGCACCCUCCAGAAAUAUUAAAUAUAGAAAAGUAAGAUCCAGUUGCUCUCUACCAAAAUUAUGAAUGGAAUACCAUCACAAAAAAACUUUGCACAACCAGAAUGGCAUGGUUCUCUAAUCUAGAGAUUUACCAUCCACGGUUUAAUUAUCUACCAAUACAUUUUUUAAAAUGAGAUUCUGCUUCUUUUAUUGGCCGAUUAACUUCUGAUUUCAUAUACUUCAACUCCUUUCUGAAAAGCAUGCAUGUCAACUCCUCAAUUAAUCAAGAUUUUUGAAUUCCACACAGAAUGCAUAAUUACACAGCCUAUACAUUGUUUACCUCAUGGAAACAGCAACUAUCUUUUCUUUUCUUUUCUUUUUGUCUAAUACAAUCAUGCAGAAAUAUACAUUAAAACAAAAUUAAUCUUUUAUUUUGAAUGCAAAAUCACCAAAACACAAGAAGAAAAAAACUCCCAACACAGAAAACUAUUCUGAUCCAUUAAACUCGAUGAAAUUAAAGAUGAUUACCUUGAUUUAAAAUCAUAACACAAAUUACUCACACAACGUAAGAAUUGAUGACAAGAAGAAGAAACAAAUAUUGAAAGAAAAAAUGAUCCCAUGAAUUAAAAUAAUUAAUGGACCACAAACAAACAUUAAUUUCACAGAAAAACAUAAACAACAUUAAAUUACCUAGGCAUCGUUCCAUCUGGCUGUAUUCCAUGUUCAAGACAAUAAAGUUCCCAACAAGAAUUCCCGACCUGAAUUCCUGCCUGUCCAAUAUGUAUGCUUAUUAUCUCCCUCAUAAUUCCUUCCUUCCUCUUCUUCUCUCUCUAAACAAUGAUUAUAAUGCAGAUGAAAGAAAGGAGAAAUGAAGAGAUUUCUCUUUUCUUUUCUUUUGUGUUGCUGAAUAAAAAGUUAGUUAAUUUAUUAAUUAAAGAAGAUUCUUAACUGCCAGUUAUAUGGCGCCAACUGUAUGGCGCUGGCUUCUUUUGCUAGCUCGGCUGCUGCCCAUCGAUUACUGUGGCUCACGUCAUGCUCAAAAUAUAUGAUGGGAUUGCAUAAUUAAUUUCUUACAAUUUUUUUAAGUUUUUUUAAAAAAGACCAGCACCUUUAAAAAAAAAUGAUAAUAGUUUAUUUUUAAAUAAAAUAUUUUUACUAAUAACGUUGUUAAGGUACGCAUAAACUGAUUCGGAUAUUUAUAUUAAUAAAAAAAUAUUUUAAACUGACCCGAAUAUUUAUAUUAAUAAAAAAAUAUUUAUUUAUUUAUUUUAAAUAAAAUUAAGUUAAAUAGAGUUUCUAAAAAACUUAAACAUUUUUUUAAUGGUAGAAAAGAUUAACUGUUUUUUUAAAUAGAUUUUCUAUUUAACCAACGUUUUUAAAAUAAAUUAAAAAAAAACAAUCAAAUCCUACUCGAUAAGAAACACUUGCAAUUAAGAAUCCCAGUCUAGAUAAGUUUUUUUUCUCUUGAUUAUUUUUUAAUUUUACAAAAGAAUAAAUAAUUUUUUUAAUUAAAAAAAUAAAACUUUUUUUUUUAUAUAAAAAACUUAUAUGCAAAAAAAUACAACACGUGCAUAUUUUUAUCAUUUGAAAGGUGGCAGACUUUUAAAAAGCUCCAAAAUUUCAGUUCAUCUGGCUAUGUAUGCAACUUAUCAAUAAUUCAAGCAAUCCGAUUUAAAUCUUUAAUGUGCUUGAUUUCACACAAGGUGAAUUUGUGCAAAUAUCCAGGAGAAUAACACCAAAGUGUAUGAAGAAAAUCGAAGGAUAAAUUUAAUGGAGUACGUUUAAGGUCGUAUAACUUUAUUGAUGCAUUAAUUCAGACACUAUUAUUGGCUAUUAGCACAUUUUUUUAUUAUUAUUGGUGAACACAUAAAAAAAAUAGCACAUUUUAUACAUGUUAUAGUUUAAAAAAAAAUGAUGUUUAUAACUUGUUGCUAUUAAAUAAGUUUGAGAGAUAAAAAUAAAUAAAUAAAAAGAUUAUGAAGACACAUUAAAGCUUCGAUUAUAAUAUCAUCGGUACUCUCAAAAAGAUUUUGACGAGACAAAUUCAUCGACACCAAAAAAGUUCAUCAACGAUGAUUUGAGUGGGUCACAUUUCCCGCUAAAGACAACAGAGUCACCUCUCACCUUUGGACAACAAGUGUGACCCACUCAAGUCAUUGUUGGUAAUCUUUUUUGGUGUCAUUCGAUUUGUCUCGUUGAGAUUUUUUUGAUGAUAUUGUAAUCAGAAAUUCGGUAUAUCUUGAGGGUCUUUUUCUUUUUUUCUUUCUCUUCUCUCAUCUCUUCUUUCUUUUACUCAUUUAAUAUUUUUUAUUAAAUGUUGCUAUUUUAAAUAGUGAUAAAUUAUACAUAUCAUGUUUGUUAAUUAUAACAUGUAUAAACACAUUUACUUUAUUAUUAUUUUCAAUUAUAUUGUCAUAAUAUUUUUAAUUUACUAUGUUAAUUGAAAAAAUAAUCCAUAUUAUUAAAGCAAUUUGUGGGCUUGUUAUCUCCUAGGAACAAUUAAGCAAUUAAAACUCUGAAAUUUUUUUUUUGUUAUUACAAGGUUUCAACUUUAAACUACACGAUAAAAAUUUCAAAAAUAGAGAUGACUAGUUUUUUAAAGUUUUGUAUUUGAUGUUUAAAAGUAUGAUAAUAAUUGUUUUUAAAGUGUUUUUUACUUAAAAAUAUAUUAAAAUAAUAUUUUUUAUUUAAAAAAAUUAUUUUUAACAUCAGGAUAUUAAAAUAAUAUGAAAACAUUAAAAAAUAAUUAAUUUAAAAUAAGAAAACAAUAAAAAACAUUCAAUUUAAAAAAAAAACAUUUUUAAAAUACAAAAAGCAAACAAUACCUUACGUAAAUUAUUUUACUUUAUCCAUUGAACCUCUUCUCUUAAAUAGAUAACACACACGUUUUCAUUUCUUUGCUUUAUUCUAACAUGUCAAAGUUAAGACACACUUCAAUCAAUAAUUGAACUAAUCCACUUACAUUUUUCUAUUAUAUAUAUAUAUAUAUAUAUAUAUAUAUAUAUAUAUAUAUAUAUAUAUAUAUAUAUAUAUAUAUGUUGUGCCAUUUGCCAAGUAAUUUAUAUAUAUAUUAUUUUGGGGCCAUCAUACUUACUGAUGGAUGGUUAAAACAUGUGUUCGGGUUUAUUUAAAAUAAUGAUAAAAAUUAUUUUUAAAAAAUACAUCAAAAUAAUAAUUUUUAAAACAACUCCAAAAGAUGUGCUAAAUGAAAAGCCAAAAAUUAAAAAAAUAUAUAUAUUAUUUUGGCUCUUUCAUGCUUAUUUUAUAUAUUCCGAGUGCUAAACAAAAUGUCAAAAUGUCUUUUCUCUUCAACAAAUGUUAUUCCUACAUAUCUCUCAAAAAAGCUAAAACCAAUAAAGUGGAGCCAACAAUAAAAUAAACCAAUUAAAUAUAGUCACGUAGAAAAAAAAUAACAUCAAACUCAUUAAAAAAAAUAAAAUGUUUAUUUCUCCUACUCUAAUACAAUUAGCUUUUCAAAUAGCUUUUUCUUAUUAGAGUAUCCAUGGUAAAAAAAAGACAUAUUUAUACUAUUCAAAAUGCUAUUUUAUCAAUUUAGCUAUUCAAAAUAACAUUUCUCCUCGGAGAUACUUUUAUUUUUUAAAAUUUAUUUCUGACAUCAACACAUCAAAACGAUUAAAAAACAUAAAAAAGCACUUAAUUUAAAGAAAAAAAUUAAAUUUUUUUUAAAAGCACAAUUAUGUUGGUUUGUGAUUUAACUUAGUAAUUUAUUUUGAAUUGUUUUCUAUCAAGUUUUUACAUUAUAUAAAAAAAUUCUGAUAUUGAGUUGGUACUCAAUUUUGCAUGAAAAAAUUCAGUUUUACAACAUGCAAAACUGAUACAAAAUAGUAUUUUACAUAAAGAAAUUCAGUUAAUUGAUUAUAAUAUUUUUUAAAUUUAUUUUAUUAAACAUAAAUAGUAUUUUUCAUGUUUUUUAAUUAAAGAUGAUACAAUAAAACACAUCUAUAACAUUGUUACAUUAAUAACAAAUGUUUUUAAAGCUAGUUACUAACUAUUUAAACAGCAAUAUGUGGUGACAUCCAGGGAUAAAAUUAGGAAAUUUAAAGAGUAUAGAGAUUGAGGUGGAACAUUAGCAAACCCAGAGGGCUAAAAAAUAAGUACAUAUUAUACUCUUCCUGGUAUUCAGAAAACUAAUGGCGCUUGCUCUCUGUUUUUAAGAAGUGGCUAAUCCAACAAAGAGAAGGAGGAAUUUUUAAUAAUAGAUUAUCAAUGUUAUAUAAUAUACUUCCUAGAAAAUUUUAAACAAGUAUAACUUUCCUUGUUAUUUAUAUUUAUAAUAAUAUAUAUAAAUGUCUUACAUUUUAAAACCUGAGAAGCAUAAGGAACAGUGGCAGCAAAGAUAAAAUGGCAACAGGCUCUGUGAAAGCGGUGGCUCUCAUCACCGGAGACUCCAUUGUUAGAGGCUCUCUUCAUUUCAUUCAAGAACCAAACGGUCUCUCUCACACUUUUUAUCUGUAUUUUGUUUAGAAAAGAAAGCAUGGUUCUUUUCUUGAUUGUAUCUGCAUGAAACAUGAUAUAUGUAUGUGUGUGUACAGGGGCAACACAUGUGACAGGGAGGAUUACUGGCUUAUCUCCGGGCCUUCAUGGCUUUCAUAUUCAUGCUCUUGGUGACACCACCAACGGCUGCAAUUCCACUGGUACUCUCUCCUUCUGUUUAAAUGUUUGUGUUGCCACUUGUCAUUGGUUGACGUUUACCGUUUCUUAAAUUCUAUAAGUGGGGUUUUUUGUUGGCUGGCUGCUGUAUAUAUGCACGACUAUUUGUAACUAUCUUGUUGAAUUUGAACUGGGAUUUUAAAAUUAGAGCAGUAGGUGCUAAUUUUUGGAUCAUGAUGAUUAUCUUUUAAGUGGGUUAUCUUCUAUUGACUGCAAGAUUAUGUUCUUGUUGUUAUUGUUGGCACUUCUUUUCAAAUUUGAGUUUUAAUUUAAAGUCUAGCGACUCCAUUUUGAUUUUAGGCUCAUAAAUUUCUUAUCUUUUAUGUACCUUAUGCUUUGGAUUGCUGCAGUUUUAGUCCAUGGUUGUAAAAUCGUCUUAUGAUCUUACUUAAAUGCUAGGACCUCAUUUCAAUCCAUUAAAGAAGGACCAUGGAGCUCCAAGUGACAAAGAACGUCAUGCUGGAGAUUUGGGGAACAUCAUUGCAGGCUCUGAUGGUAUGUGCCGUUUCUUAAUUUCUAUAUGAAUUUGGCAAGUUGGAGAGCCAGGGACAGAUUUUAGCUUCAUUUUUUCAUGCUGCAGGUGUUGCAGAGGUUUCAAUCAAAGACUUGCAGGUAUUAACAAAUAACUAUCGUAAGGGGUUAGAUGGUAGUCUCUUUUGGUUUAGAAUUCUUUCAAUUUUCAUGCUCUUGAUUACCUCAUUCCUCUAGAUGAACUUGAAAGUUUUUCGAUAAUUUGAUGCUUGGUUUGGUAUUGGCUCGAGUUAUUUGAUCUUGAAAUUUUUUGGAAUUAUCAAAUGCCAUGAAGCUCUCAGUCAAAUGGUUUUGUGCCGGGGUGCACAGAUGCCCUUGGUUUCUUCAAUUCUUUGGUCUCAAAAAAAGUUCGACUCAGUGAAUUUUCGCUUCAAUUAUUGAACGUCUCUCUCUUGGUUUUGCUUCUAGAUACCACUGAGUGGGAUGCAUUCGAUAUUGGGGAGGGCUGUUGUUGUGCAUGCUGAUCCUGAUGAUCUUGGAAAAGGUAAAGGCUUCUAGAUUUGGUUUCAAUAUAUUUGUGCCUUGUAAAAUUCUUAUCCGGUUAUGCUUGUAUAUAUGUGCUCAAUGUUAGUAAGCAACUUGAGUGCCCUUUAGUUUUUAACCUGAUAUAGACUAGCUUAUAUCUCGUGAUCAAACUUGCUUUCACUUCUAUAUGUUAUUUUGUGCGUCAUUCUUUGCUUGAGUGAUGCGGGAUAAUAAAUAAUAAGAAUUAAAGUAAAAAAAGAAAGAAACUUUUAGAUAAAGAAAAAAGCUAAAAAAGAGAAGAAAGGGGAUUGGAGCUAUGCAAAGUAUGCAAUAUUUUCAUUAAUCAUCAAAACUGUCUAACAUUUAGAAAAGUAGGAUAUACUAAAACUCUAACUAGAAUAAGCGAUUGGGCUUAUGGCCCGCUAAAUAAAAUGCCCAAUAAUAAUUAUAUCAAACCCAACAAAUAAAACCAAAUUAAUAAAACUCAACUAAAAGUUCAUAUAAAUUAAACUAAGACAUAAGCUAAAGCCCAAUCUCUCAAUGGUUUGGGCUAUCCUCCAUCGUCUAUGAUCAUACGCGUGCGUAAACAGUGUUUUGGGUUCGGUGUCCCCACCACUGAGUUUAUUGGAUUAGGUAAGGGAGCCUAUUGAUUUCUUGAUGUUGCUUGUUGCUUUCUUAAACUCUUCAAAUUCAAGUGCAUGUGUUUUGGGGAUGAACUAGAGUGAGCACUGAAUGGGUAUUCUAUGAAGUUCAGUUAAACAUGUACAUAUUUAUCAACUGUCAGUGCCCUCAACAGGCUUUCUACGUAGGCAACAUAUGCAUCAUGAUCCACGAGCUGCUAAGUUUAUCUCAAAAUCUGUUUUAGAAUGAUCAUCUUGGCUUGAUCUUUCCCCAUUAGAAACUUUGCAUGAAGCAGAAUGAACUAAUAUCUGUGAUUGUGUGACGUGAAGUAGUUUUAUAGGGAAUUUAUAAAGUAGAAGAAAGUCCAAAAGAGUGAUAUAUAAAAAAUCUGUCUUGUAAUGUUCCCAUUUAACUAGGGCUCUAGGAGACAUUUUUGGGCAUACUCUAGUGUCCAUAUUUUCAGCAAGAAAUUGUGUAAUUCACAGUUAAGCCACAAGUUCAGAUGCAUGCCUGGAACAGGCGUUUAUCUAGUCAAAUAGAAGAGAAUUUUUGUUAUUUGGCUCUACAUGUGAUAAGAGGAUGGAGGAACUAUCAUUACUGGGACAUUGUCUAAAUGGCUGGAGAUUUAUGGUGUACUAUGUCUUUGGUGUUUAACAUCAACUGAAUUGAAUUUGCUUAGAAGUAGAGCUACUAAAUUUUUGGAGGCUACACUACAGGAAAUCUAUUACUACCUCUUUGUUGAAUGGGGACUACUUGGAGAGUAGUGAACGACAGAACUUUUGAAUAGGUUGAGAUGCAAUGCUGUAAACUGGAGUCAUUUUCCUGAUUAGUUGUUUGUUCAUUUGGAUGUAUAUACCUCCAACAUUUCUUUUGAUCAUUUUCUUAUCUUGGAAUGAAACAAUUGUCAUAUAGAUGCCUGUUUUUUUUACCUGUAUUGAAACAUUUUCUUAGAAAAUCUCAAAAUAAUGGGCAGGUGGACAUGAACUUAGCAAGACAACUGGGAAUGCAGGUGCAAGGGUUGGAUGUGGUAAUACUACCUUUUCUUAUACUUUUCUGUGCUUUCUAACAUUAACCUUUAGUGAGUAAUAUUCUGGGGCAUGAGAUGGAAUGGAGUGAGUGUUGCAUGUGAUUUAUUUUUCAAUUAAAAUCUUUUUGCUUAUACACAAAAGCCUGACAUUUGUUACAUUAUUUGGACAGGCAUCGUUGGGCUCAAAUCAUCUGUUUAGAGUUGAUACUUGGUUUGAUGGGUUACUUCAUCAAGAUGCCCUUCUGGUAAAAACUGAAGCAGCGAGAAGAAGAAGAACGUCCUUUUAAGUUUUGCAGGGUCUCGUCCAACACACUUAUGCGAAGUUGUAAUCUCCCAUUAACAAAACUAAGUGAACUCUGAAUAUUCAAAUUGUCAAUCUAUCGCCAUGGCUUGGAAAGCUUUACUUUUUCAUGCAUGUGGUAUAUGGUGUCAUGGUCUCUGAUGGGUAUGCUCCUGCAUUAAUUUCUCUGGGAUAUGCAAUGAAUCCCUUAUCUUUAAGAAAAAGAACAAAUAUAUGAUGUCUUGUCGCUCAUUCCUGCCGUAAAAAUCUCAUGAAAUUUAUCUGAUUACUGUUCUGAAAUAAACAUUUCGAAUUCUCGUCACUGUCUGCCUUCUCAUUUCCUCCAUUAGAGCAGUCGAUAAUUGCAGACACAAUGCUCUAGCAAUCUAUCGGAAAGCAUAAUGUUUCAUCAGAAGACGGUUGUCUCUACAGGCUUUGAUAAUCCUCAGUGGUUUAAUUUUGCUAUCUCAUACAUAUGAUAGAAGCUCGCAGACUACUGAAAUAGUACAACAGCUCGCCGCACGCUCCACUCCUCCAUUGGGAAUAAUCAUCUGUUUACAACUACCUCGAUUUCUUUUUCACCUUAAAAAAACAAAAAUCAGAACAAAAAUGUCCCAUGCUUUGUUCUUCCACCCCCAGUCCCAAGACAAAACCAUCUGGAUCUCACCACUUGCCAAACUGAUUUGGCACCAGUCCUCCAGUACCUACCAUCCGAGGGUGAGACAACUCACCACCCCAUUAAUGCAGUUGCAGAAUAUAGAUUGCCAAACAGAUUUAUAGAGUCCACCUGCAUUCAGUGCUGGCGCCACCACCAUUGUGGCAUUGACAUUUGAAGUUAAAACCGUAAGAUAAAAUCAACUACAGCCGGAUGUUCAAUUUCCCUUUCUCCCUUUUCAGAAACAAAUUUUAAGCAGGCCUAGUAUUCACAGCUGAUAAAAAUGGACUACACCCAGAUGUAACGAAACAUUUUAUUGAUAAACGAAGCUUUCAUUCAGAAUAAAAGUACUUGCAACCGACCAUAGUAUCCAGAAGCAAAGCUACUAAUUCAUUAAAACCAAUAUUUAGUUUAGCUUGAUACAGUCUACACUUCAACUACAUGAUAUGAAGGCAACAACCACACAGGUUGCUAAGUUGUAAUAAGAAUGAACAACUUGAUCAGAGAAGGAAUUCUGAUGUGAAGCAAGGGGCCUGGGACCUCUGCACUGUUUCUCGUCCAGCAUGUAGUUCAGAAUACUUCUACCCUCUCAACCAUGUGUUUCUGUAUGAUGAGUUGUCCCGCAGAGAAGCAUCAUGGGGCUUGUAAUCCAUUACAUAGCUGUGGGGAAGCUUCAAGUGCCUUUUGAUUGAAUCUCUUAAAGCCAUCACGCCCUGCAGAAGAAAAUAAGUGUUCACUUUUUUUCUUUAGGAUGCAAGAGGAACGUUCUUAAUUGAAUGCAAAAGGAAAGGAUAUAAAUGAAAAUUAAAGUACAAUAUAUUACAAGAUAAGAGGAAAGAGUAGAACACAACAAUUAGCAAGGGGAAAGAGUGGAACACAACAAUUAGAACAAUAGCAACUAAUAUUGACUAACCUGACGAUCUGAUGCAUUGCGAUUCCACACACUAAGUAUAUCCUCAUUGUAACGGAUGCUUAGCACUGCACCGCAUAUGUCAUCACUGUAAUCAAGUUGAUCACCAACCAGUGCAAGAACCUGUAAGAGCAUUUGCAAGUAGAAUUCAAUACCAGUUACAGAAAUGCCAACUUAAAGGAAAGGCUACCAUUGAACUACAAAACACUUCUUUCCAAUAUAGGUGGGGGGGACCAAACUUUGCAACUAAAAUCUAGGAUUUCAGCUUCACUGCUGACAGCCACACCUACAAAAGCAGCCAGUACAUUCUACCAUCCAUGACCUCAACUGCAUUGACGAUUUAAACCAAAAAAAAAAACAGUAGCUAUAUAAAAGCAGUUACAGAUUCAAAACCACAGAAUCCAAACCCUUAAAGUUUCCUUUUCAUAGCUUAUGAAAACCAAGGUUUGCUGCAAGGAUACCAGCAAAUAACCCAAUCCAGCUAUGAAACUAAUAAGACCUCGAGAUGUUACCAGUCAUUAUCAUGUGGUUGGUUUGGUAACCAACCAGGAAAUUCAUGAGUUCGAGUUCCAUAACAUCCAUCUUUUCGAUAAAAAUGAUUCAAAACAGAUAAAUAUAACAUGAAACCAACCAGGAAAUUCAUGAGUUCAGGUUCCAUAACAUCCAUUUUUUGGAUAAAAAUGAUUCAAAACAGAUAAAUGUAACAUGGCAUGUGCCAAAAAUAACAAAUGGUACCCAUACAACAUGCUGUAUGCAUGUGCAUGCAUAGUCAAACAAAACUUCCAGGAUUUGGUGACGAAAAUCCAACUAUGUUCAUCAAAAAUUUCAAACGUCAAACUUAACAAGAGAAUCGAGUUUUUGCAUGAUGCCAGCAGAGAAAAGUUAAUUCCAGCUUCCUCUUACCAGAUCCUCCCAAAAGCGACCAGAGACAACCUUCUUGAAUCUUAUGAUCCACUUGCCACCAUUGCAGUUAGCAGAGUCCUAAAAAAUAACAAAUGUCAAGAGUUUUUUACGUUCAAAUUCAGCAUAACAUUAGAAAGUUCUCAACAACUAUGAUGUGAUUAAAUUAAAGCAAAAACUAAAUAAUAGCUAUUGCAACUUCAGGUUUGCAACAUUACCUCCCAUAGAGGACGGAUUCCUUCCUUGAAAAGAUGCAGAUCAGUUGGGCUCGGCAGUAAAGAAGGUCGAGCCAGGUGGCAAUAGCAGACCCAAAAACCUUCAACCUGCAUGCCCAUAAUGCCAAAAGUCCAGUCAGCAAAUGAAUCAAGAAAAAGAACAUCUAUUUACAUGAGGAUAUAUCUCAACUAAUAUAUUACCAAACAAUCUAAAAUUACAAUUGAACUUACAGUACUGAACUCAACGAUUUUCUUUAUAUUGUCCUCAUAUGAUGUCUGUGUUCGAACUCCUGGCGUUCGACGAGUGUACCAAAAUAUGAACUUGUUCUGAACAUAAACAAGUCAGAGCAAAAUAAGAAAGUACUUAAACAUACUCAUUGUGAAUUAUAUCAAGAGAAGAGCUACAUAUGGUAAUAUUAAAAUUAUCAGCAAAGGUAACUAUGCCCUCAUAUUGUACAAUCAAACAAUCCAUAAAACAUAAAACCCUAGUUUGACUGCAAGGUUUGUGUAGGCCUUACACCUUCGUACCAUACUGGUAAGCAUGGAUCUAUUUACUGUGCAAGGAGAGAAGUUAAAAUGCUUCCACUAGCACAAACACAAGUCACGUGGGGCAAGGUUAGAAGAUAUGCAACAGACAACAGGUUUUUCCCUCAGCAAUUUUCCUUGCAGAGCCACGUGAAAAUGGUUUCGAAAGGAAAACAAAAUGCUUCUUUGAAACAACACCAGGAGCUGAGUUUUGAGAAGCAGGAAAACUACAGCUAGGGGUGAUAAAGAGUAGUAUCUUUCUGCUUCAAUCACUUGGGGACCAUAUGGUUUUUUAAAAACUACAUUGGCUCAUCCCCCACCUUGUUUCUAAGAAUCACGAUUCAUUAUAAUCAAGUUUUGAAUUUUAAUCAAUUAUCUACAUAAUUAAGCUAGCAUGUAUGAGCUUCCAAGCUCAAUUUUUGAGCUAAGAAAUGCAACUGGAGCUGGAAAGCACACGUGGAGAUUUGGGAUUGGUUAAAAUAAACAAAUGAAAUGAAAAAUGUAGACUUAAAAAAAAAACCUAACUCAGCCGGACUUUGCAAAAAAUUGUAAACAAUCAAAUUGAAAAGCUAAAAUACUAACCACAAAUUAUACGAAAAAAGAAAAGACAAUCACAUAAAACCCAUUGCAGAAAAACUACCAAAUCGCAACAAUCUAAGAAAAAUAGCAAAAACGCAUAAGAGAGGGUGUGAGAGAGAGAGAGAGAGAGGGAUUGGGAACCUUGAGAGGAUGCAAACCAGCUUUGAGUUCGCGUGCUUGGCGUUCUUCGGAUUCUUUAUCGAUGAUAUCAGUUGUUGAAGAUGAAUCAAGUGUCGCUGUUUGUGAAAUGUUAUUGUUGUUUUCUGGUUCCUUCUUCUCUGAGAUCUCCAUUUUUUAAAUUCUAAUUAUUCAAAGCCAAGAACAAACCCUAAUUAGUACGGCCUUAUUUCUCUAUUUAUAUUUAUGCUUCUCACAAUUUUGGAGGUCCAGAUAAGAGAGAAGGAGGAAGACGAGACUACACAAUACAAUACAAUACAAUCCGACUUUUUAAAGCGACUCAUCUACACUCUACACUACACGAGCCCGUCAUUUUUGUUUUAUUUUUGUUUUAUUUUUUUUUUAUCAUAUGUCACGCUGACGGGCUAAAUGCCCGCCUUUCUGUUUGUAUUAGGGCCUCGACCCUGGGCUUCAUGGGCCUCUGCCUUUUCUUUUUCCUUUUUGUUUUUGCUUAAAAUAAUUCAUAAUAAUUUUAUGAAUCUAUGAUUUUCUAAUUGAUAAAUUAAUUAUGAUUGUAAUAUAUUUUUUAUUAUACAAUACUAAAAUUAUUAAUUUAAAAAGAAAUCAAAUGAAGAUGUGAUUGUAGAGUUGAUAAAUGUAGCUUUUCAUCCUUGUAAAUCUUGUUUUCAAUAGCUAUUUUGAGUUAUUUUAGGCAAUUUAAACAUGAAAAAAUAUAUAAAUAAAAAAUAUUUUAAUACUAAAAUUGAUUAUUUUGGUUGAUGUAAGUGAUGUUAACAAUGAUUUUAUUUUAAUUAUCUUUCGAAUGAGGACUAAAAAUAAAACUAUUAAAGUUUUGGAUCAAAAUUAUUUUUUUUGAAAUCUCAAAAAUUACAGGGAUCUAAUUUUUAUAAUUCAAAAUAUAUGAGGAUUAAAUUGAACAUUUCACCGAAAUCUUUGAAAAACAUUUAUAGUGCUCGCACAGAUAUUUUUUGAAAAAAAGAUAAAAAACAAAAGCAUUUCCUUUAGAAAAAGCAAAUAUUCUUUCUUAUAAAAAAUCCUUGAAAGCACCGAAAGAAAAGAAAAAAGGGAGUUGAACAACCCUCCCACAGAAACAUGAGCAUGAUGAUGGCUAUGGAUAUAUAAAAAAAGGCAUGGUAUCACCCUUAGAACGCCAUUUUUGACACCACCCCAAAACCCUAAUUACCCUCCCCUCUCCUACAAGACAGAACUUUCUGAAUUUCUAAGAUAAAAGCCCUAAUCAGUUUUGAUUAUUACCAUUGUUGUCUGUUUAUUAUUAGUUGUUCUUUCUAUUAUAUUAUCAUCAUUGUUAAGACAAAAAAAAAAUACCUAAUAAUUCACUAUCCUACCUUAGUAAUAAUAAUUAUGAUUAUGAUUAAUAAAUCUAAUCCUAAUAAUUAAGAAACCAAACCGCCUUCUAAAUCAAGAUCAUCGCUUUAUCCACCAAUUGCUUUCCUUUCUCUCUUUAUUUUUUCUGGGUUUUCAAUUCUGAGAUUUGACCUUUUGUUUUCAUUUUCAACAUCUUUCUUCAAUGGCUCUGCUUUCUCUUCUCUUCUUGCUCUCUAUUGGUGGGGCUUCUUCGGCAUCAGCCUUGUCUAUUUGUCCUGAUGAAUCAGCUUUGUUUCUUUAUGAUAUUCAAUCUCAAUGUCCUGUUUCGAUCUAUCCAAAUCCUCCUCUUCAGGUGCGUUUCUCUCUUUUCUAUUUGCUUGUACUUUUUUUAAUUUAUACUGUCUCUUUUUUGAUUGGUGGUUAGUUGUUGAUUUCAUGAUACUUUUUCAUCUGGGCUAGUUUUUUUUUGUGGAUUAAUGGGUUGUUCAUGUUUUGAUUUGAUUUGUUGUUUCAUGGUGUUUGUUGUUGUUGUUGUUGUAUUUGAUCAAAUUGCUUUAUGUGUUUUUCUGCUUUUUGUAUUUGAUUGUUAUUUGGCUUGCUGAGCAGUGCUUGGUGAAUGUCACGUUUAGAUUUUGUGAAUUGGAAUAGUAAAUGUUAAUGGGUUGACUUUGUUUUCUUUUCUUUUCUUUUGGUUUUCGUUUUUGUUUUUUUAGCAGUAUUAGAAUUUUCCACACUGAAAACACAAUGAAGUAGAAUUUGGACCUUGAAUGUUUAUCUUUUAUUUCCAUUUCGUUUCUAGGAGGUUUGAAUUUAAGUCCUUCAUUUAUUUACUUAUUCAUUUUUUUAAAAUUUUGGGAAUACCCGUUAGUUUGAGUUUUUUUUUUUUUUUAAUUUAAUUGUUGGUCAUGGACCAAGGGAACUAUCAUUUAUCAAUUGCAUGAGGGCUGAGUCUACUUUUUUUUUAAAAAAAAAAAAAAAUUAUAGUGUUGUGGAGCAAUUGUAUUUUUCAUUUUGAGGGGUUAAUCCUGGACAAUGUCUUUCCCUUCUUUUAUAGAUUGUCAGUUGUUAAAAUCUUAUCCCAAGCUGCUUCCUGUGCAAAAAUUAAAGACUCUGUGUAGUGAACUUGACGUUCCAGAUAGUUCCUGGGACUAGAAAUGUGUAAAUCUGAAGAAGAAACAGAAGGAAAAUGAACUCCCAUAGGCACGUGACAAAUUUCGAUAGCUAGGAUGUUGUGUUAAUUGUUUUAUUUUCUUCACUUCACAAUUAUUUUGGAAUCUUGAUGAACUGGAGGUUGCAGAGGGUUAUUGUGAAUGGGAAAGCUGGAUUAGAUAGAGGCAUUUAUGUAGGAACAUGGGACAGACAAUGUAAGAGUGCCUCCUGGAGAAACUAGAAAGACAUAAUCAUUAUGAAUCCACUUGUUAUGUGCCGUUCUAAUGUUUUGGGGAAAAGAGGACAUCUAAUUUCCAAUUUACAAGUGUGUAAUCAUAUGAUAUCACCAAUCUAGGUGCCUUUUAGUUUAGAAUUCUCUUUGAACAUUUUGCCUUCAGAUUCUAUUUCAUGCAAAGCUAGUGCUUCCUGAUAAGUUUUUAUACUGCUUCUUGUCUCUAUUUGAAACGGUAAGCUAAUAGAAUCAACUUACGAGGGGGAGGGCCUGCUUCCUUCUUGAAGCUAGUUCCAUCAUCACUGACUCGUGCCUUUGUAAUCUUUUGAUCUAUCAGAACUUGUUCCAUAGGUCUAGGAAGACCCUAACCAUUUCAAAACCUGCAGGAAAAAACAUAUCAUUUUGAACGAAAUUAAAUUGUUCUCAUUAUGGUUUACUUGGUAUGGUGAUUUUUUUUGGGGGGCAGACCUCAAAAAUAUAGGUAGUCUCAAUGUUACCACCAAACAAUUUGUGGUAUCAAUUUUACCCUCAAACUUUUAGAAAUUUUUUAUUAAGGAUUUCCAUCCAUUUUAAGGCUUUCCAUCAGUAUUUCCUUCCAAAUUGUACUUUCUAUUUGUGAGAAACAUCAUUUUAUAAGGAACUUGUACUUGAUGUUUAUUGAGAAAUCAAAUAGGAUAGUGGUAAAAUCAAUAGAAAAAAUAGUUUGGGUGCAAAAUUGAUAAUUCCCAAUAAUCUGCUGGUAUAUUUGAUGUUUGUCCUUUUUUUUUGUGUGUGGGAAAGCCUUAAUAUUAUUUUAUCCAUUUCUCUCUCUCUCUCUCUCUCUCUCUCUCUCUCUAUCCAUGUGCGCUGAGAGGGGGUGGGGAUGAGUGUGUUGCUCUUCUAUGGGGUAGCAUUUCUUUAGGAGGAUGACCGCUCACUGCAUUUUGUGUGAGCAUCAUCCUAACAACAAUGGAUAAAUGAGAAAUUAUAACAUUGAAACAAAUUUUACAUAUUAACCAAAUUUCUCUCAACUGGACAAGAGGGCAUAUGAUAUAUCUGAGUUUUUCUCUCUUAUGAAUUACUUGUAAUUGAUGGUUGACAGGCUUUAGUCCAUUAUUCUAAAUCGUGAACUUGAAUGUGGUUACUGCUAUGCUAUGGUAUCCUACAUUCCAAACAGACGCAUCUGUAAUGUUAGUCCUAUUGAAGUAGAAGGAAGAACAGAAGAUGAACUGACAACUGGUCACUUGAGAAAAUAGAUGAACUAUUCUUCUUUUUUCUUUGGAUAUUUCCAUGUUUGUUUUGUUUUUGUACUUUACCUAAGAUCAUGUAGUCACUUGGAAACUGUUGACAAAAGACCUAGUGCCUCAGUUUGGCUAGAUAGAGGUAGUGGGAUAAAAACUCAGUGUGACAACAAUUACGCUUCAGCUAACCUUGCACAGUUGUUGUGUAUACAUGCAACCUAACCUUUCUUUUGCUAGAUAGAGGUAGUGGGAUAAAACUCAGUCUGGCAACAAUUUCUCAUUUGCUUAAGCUUGUACAGUUGUUGCGCUGACAUGCAAUUUUGCACAUGAGAUUUGCUUUCCACUGUUUUUGUUGUUUUUUGCCUGAAGAAAUCUGUAAUCACUCCUUUAUAGCUGAGUUGAACUUUCAAACCCAUUCAGUUUGGGGCACUCGAGUGAGGAAUUUCUUGUACGGGAUUUCCAUGUACUUCUAAAUAUUAGGAAACAACCGUAGCUUGUAUCUGAAUCGUAUUUGAAACACAACUUCCCUGUUGGAAGCUCACUUUUGCUAUCCUUCUCUGGAAAUUGCUUUGGAAGACUCCCACAAAAAAGAAAAAAGGUUUGUGAGGGAGAGAGAGAAAAUAGAGAAUGAUGGGUGAUAUUGGAGGGAUAAAAUAGAGAACAAGUUAAGGCAUGGCAAGAGGAUGAAUGACUAAUGAAAAAAGGAAGAGAAAAACAGGGUCAUAUAUUCUUAUGACUUGUCAGAAGUCUAAAUUUGUAUCUGAGGGAUAAAAGGAUAUUGUGAUAACUUAACUUUUGGACAAAAUGAAUGGAAGUGAAAGUCAUAAAUCCUUGGGACACAUCAGAAAUCUAAUUUUAUAUGAAGUAGAGAACUCUACUAAGGGAGGCAUUCAAAUUAUUUAUAGCUCUAUGGUGCUUAAUCCAGUUGAUGAGUCAUAAGGUUGUCAUAGCUCCUAGCUUCUCAGUGGAGUUUAUAUUGGUUAUGGAGCAGAACAGGCACAAGCUCACAGCAUCCUGUCAAUUAUCACUGGACAUGAUCCACCAGAGACUUCUUUCUGAGGGGGGACCAAAUGAAUGGAUCAUAUGUUUCACCUCUUUAACAGUUUGUUUGAAACACAUUCAUGAAUACCUCUUUAAUGGUUUGUUUGAAACAUAUUCACGAAUAAAUUGAAUUUGAAGUGAAUAUAUGUGGAUUAAAAGGAGAUUGAGUUAUGAACUUUCUUUAGUGGACAACUUAAAAGUAAGGUAAAACUUCCAUAUUCACAAAUCAUGAGAGCAUACACAGAUUUUAUUUUUUUUAAUCCACUUAAACAAGUUACAAUGUAAUUUGUGCACAGUAGAUAGUUUCAAUUCCAAAUGCAUAAAUUGGUUUAAAUAAAUUCUGAACUAUUUGUUUGUGCCAAUUCAUGGGAAUUUUAAAAAAUGAAAAAGUUGGUUAGUUGUUUACUUGUGGGAUUGUGGUACUUGUAUGCUUAGCUCUUUGGUCAUUUACAUGUAAUAUUUCUUACAAAAAAAAUUUUGACCGUCCCAAGGUCUGGUUGCUCAUUUUUUAUUUAUAUGUAAUUCAAAAGAGUUUAUAAAUGCCAUUUCAUAAUGUCUUCCUACUCACCAUCUUGUUCAUGUAACUUGUAAUAAAAGUCCAGUUUUCUGCCUUAUGUACUGUAUAUUUUAUGCCUUCAUUUCUCAGAUUUUACUAGGAUAAUCAUUAUUUUGUCUUUAUUUGAUUGGUCCAAAUAAUUCAAGCUUUGUAUUAGUUUGUAGUGCUGAACUAUAUACUUUUGUUAAUAGGUGGAUGGGGAUUUCCUGGACAGAGCCUUAACUUCAAAACAGAGGAAUGCUUAUACUUCUGUACUCUUUUAUGCUUCAUGGUGUCCUUUCUCAUGCAGUAUGCUUCCAAAAUUUGAAAUUCUUAGUUCCAUGUUCCCUCAAAUCGAACAUUUGGCUGUUGAACAAUCUUCAGCUCUACCAAGGUGAAACACCACUAUCCUGGCCUGCUUAUAAUAUUUCCUCAUCCUUGCUGCUUGUAAUAUUUCCUCAUCAUUGUGGAUGAUGUGGCUAUAGAGGCAUAAGACUCGUUCCUCAAAGCGUAGUUUCAAUUCGAUUCUUUUUAAUUGUCAUCUUUUGAUACUCAUUGAAUGUUUUAUUGAUUUUUUGUUGGAGGUUUCUGUCAAACACCAACAAUCUUUGGCUAAGUUAUCCUGUAUUUUGUCUAGUGAUAACAAUGCCAUAUCUUUUUUGCAGUAUAUUUUCAAGAUACGGAAUCCACAGCCUGCCUUCAAUAUUAAUAGUCAACCAGAGAUCAAAAGUGCAGUAUAGAGGGCCAAAGAACCUUCAAUCUCUUGCUCAGUUUUAUAAGAAAACAACAGGUAGAUUUGUUUUUCCGUGCCAAAAGUUGUGUACAUUCUUACUGAGCUCACUUCCCAUCUCUGCUUCCACCAUUUUAUAAGCAUUGAUCUCUUGGACCUGACUAUGUUGUAAGAUUGACACACACAAAGUGCUUUAUUAAAUUGUAGUCAAUAUCAACCUUGCAGCACAUUAAAAGUUGUCCAAGGGUUUAUUAGUGCCCUAUGAUUACACAUGAUUUCCAGCAACAUACAAUAGUCGAGUCAUCAAUAAAAUUUAUGCAUCCUGUUUGUAACCUGACUGUCUGUGAUUCAGGACUUGAACCAGUUCAACUUUUUACCAAAGAUGACUCUUCUAGUACAGAGGGUCAUGAAAAAUCCAUCUUGCAGCCAUGGAAUGGACCAUCCUUGGAAGAGAUAAUAAAAAGGGAACCCUACUUAGCACUUGCUACAUUGUUUCUCUGUUUGAGGGUGCUGCUAUAUGCAUCUCCAAAAGCCUUGUCGCAUCUCAAGGCUUUCUAUGUCUCUUAUAUACCACAUUUCAACUUGGAAAUAUUUGGAGAGACUAGCCAAUUUUUUGGGCGUAUCCUUCAUAUGAUUGAUGUGAGGAGGAUUUGGACUAAGCUGAGAUUAUGCAAGACCAGGAAUUUCCAUGAACGUGCAAAAAAUUGCCGGGUUUGGGCUUCCUCGCUGGCUUCUGUUUCUUUGGGUGAAUCUUCUUCAUCAACUAGGUCACAGUCCUGAGGCAUAUCCUGGUAUCUCUUGGCACUUAAAAUCAAAGGUAGAAAAGAGCUUACUACUGUUAACAUAAUGUAUUACAAGCAGAAUUAUUGUUCUGGGACAGGCGGUCUCUCUCACCCUGUAAAAUUUUACUAUUAGUGAUACUUGUGAUGAUGAUAGCUGAAACCAUUGUUGGCUGUUCUAGUUUUGGGAGGGAGCAAAAAAUCAUGUAAAUUUGAGAACAGCUUUCCCAUUUUGUAUAUUAUUUAUCAUUUGGAGGAACAUCUUCACACUUAAGUGGAUGUAAGCAUAUCCUCUCUCGGCCCGCGCAAACACUAAUGGCCGAAACAGACAGCAGGUUCAAAGUUUACGUUCAGACACUUGAAGAACAGGAGACUAUAAAUAGGUUUAAGAUUUGAUCAGGAGAUCGAUCCCAAUCCGAAGGAUGGAAAAUAUUUUCAAGUACAUUGUCCAUUAAAGUCUCUCUUUUUACCUCAGCUGUAAUGUUUUGACAUAAAAAGAAACAUUUUAAUAGGAAAAAGCAACGAUACUAUUGGAGUAGUUAUUAAGUAUAAAUGAUUGGAGUAGUUAUUAAGUAUAAAUGAAUGAGGGACAUUGAGCUAAUUGUACAUAAACGUGAUAAGUAUAAAUAGAAAAGAAAAACAAAACAAAAAAGAAAAAGAAGAGAGAAAACCGAAAGAGAGGGACAGAAAGAAGAAGAGAUGAGAAAGAAAAAUCAAGGAGAUGAGAUUUAGAAGAAAUAAACUCCUAAUUUAAGAUUUACACUUUGAUUUGUAAAUAAUUGUUGUAAUUAGUUUGAUUUUGAAAUUGUUGAGGUUUUAGGGUUUUGAAAUUUAUGUUUUUGACUUUAGUUGAUGGAUUUAUAGGUUAAAUGUUAGAAGUUAAUUGUUAUUAGUAUUUGAGGUUGUUAAUAGGAUUUUUGGAGAUUUGUCAUUUUGAGGAGACUAGUGGAUUGAGAUCUGGAAUCUCGAUUAACUGGUUGAUCGGUUUGUCUAACUCGGUUGAUCAGUUAGAUUGUUUCAAUUUAAUCAAUUGAUAAGUCAUUUUUGAUCGACCAAUUGACAUGAAGGAUUUCAUUAGACCGGUUGGUAGAUUUCGGUCGACCAGUUAACCAAAUAGAAAGGGUUGAUCAGUUCUUUUAGGAUCGGUCAAUUUAAGAUAUAUUUGGGAUUAAUUGAGUAGACCCGUUUCGUUUUUAUAAAUACAUCUUGGUCUUAAAUCUUAGAGUUGUAAUCUCUUAAGUUUUAUGCUUUGAGUUAUUUUUGAAUAUGUCUUUUUUUGUAUUCAGAUACUCCACUUUACUUGCUGGGCCAUAACUAAGAUUCCGUUGAUAUCUGCGUUUGUAUUUCUUCUGCUUUUGAGUUAAUUAAGUGGAUAAUAUUUCAUAUUCAAGAGGAAUAAUAUAAAUAUUUGAAUUGUUAAUAUGAAAUGAAUCAUGCUUCUUGAUAAAAUAUAUAUUGCUUAUUAUCUCAUGUUUAUGAUAAAACAUAAUCAUUUAUUGAAACUAAUUUCUUGAGAUGAGUCAUUAUGUAAUUUUGAAUUGAUAGUUUAUCAUUUGAUUGAUUACAUGAAUUGAGUCUUUAAAAAAUAUUUUUGUUUUGUUUGAUUAUAACUCUAUGGUAUGCCAAUUAGAAUACUUAUGUUAAAGUGUUAGUUGUUGUGCACUUUGUAAUUCUAGACCCUAGUUGGUCGGAAGAGUUAUCAACUUGUGACUACAAAUCAUCCUAUAUUCUGAAGCGUCAUAUUUAUUGUAUUUUGAUUUUUUAACGAGCUUUAACUUAUAAUAUUUCUUAUUAUGAUCUCAUUAUAAAAAUUUCUUAUAAAAACAUAAAUCCAAACUUUUAUAUAAAUAUAUUUGCACAGGUAAGAAACUGGGAAGAAACCUUAUCUGGGAUUCCAGUCGUGAUAUCAGCAAUGUAGUCUCUAUGCAGGGUUUAUUUAUUUAUUUUUUUGGGUUGCGGGGACGUGAAAAAAACUACGACUGUUAAAGAUGCACUGUACUCUGUUAUCGCUUUAUUGAAGUCCCCACUCCUCGUGCACCUGCCCCCCAUGAUUUCAGUGGUGGGGGCGUCCUCAUGCCACCUUCCGGUCAAUAGCCUUUCCCUUUGACGAAACCCUGAUGCUCGGCAUGGGCCCUCUUUCCCUUUGAUUGUGCUCGCCGUUACCGGCGAAGUAUGGCAAGGACAGUGACACGACUCCCUCUUGUUCUUAGCCAAAUCAACACAGGCACCCCUCAACUUUUAGAUCUUUUUUUCAGGAAUUGGUCAGGCUAUUAUUGAAAUUGAAAGAAAGAAAGAAAGGUGGCCAAAGUUUAAUAUUCAUAAUUAGAAUGAGAUUGCGAGUUAAUAUGUACACAAAAUAUAUGAAUAUACAAGAGCAUCCAAUGUUCAAAAUUUUAAGCAAUUUUCUCCCCCAUUUUUUUUCUUCAAUUUUCUCCACAACGUCAUGAAAGGUAUAAGGAUCUAGAGAUGGGAUUAAAAAGAGAGGAAGGAAUAAGACUUGGGUAGCCUAGUUUGGCUAGGUGAUAAGCAUUCCUUGUAAAUAAUAAUAAUAAUAAUAAUAAUAAUAAAACAAUUGAAUCCUAUACCAUUAGCAAGAUUGCUUGAAUCUAACCCUUUAAAUUAAUAAAUCAUUUUAUGUUUUUAAUUAUUUUGAUGUGCUGAUAUUAAAAAUAAAUUUUAAAAAAUAAAAAAAUAUAUUGUUUUAAUAUAUUUUUAAACAAAAAACACAUUAAAAAAACAAAUAAAUAUUUAUCAAAAUCAACCACCUUUGUGAUCCGGCAGAAUAUCAUGUGAAGAAGGCAAAUAUGUCCACUCCACGACUAUCAAAUUUACAAAUUAUUAAUUUUUACAACUUAAUAAAAAGACACAAAAAGCCAAUAAAGAUUAAAGAGAGCUCCAGCCUAUGGACAGUUGUCUGGAGGCUUUCACUUUCAUCUUUGCUGCUCUUCGAUCAAGACCUACCCUAUCACUUUCAUUCGAAGCAAACUUCUCCAAGCAACCGACAUCCUUCUCUUUCCUUCCUUCCCUACCUCUCCAUGGCCAUGAGAGUGAGACUAUCGAAGGAAUCUCUAGCAAAGACUUUCUUCUCCAUCUCCCUCUCUAGGAAUGUUCUUCAGAGGAACUUACGAACAUAUUUUUAACACGUACUGUUGGCACAUUUUUUCUCCAAACUUGGUAGAUUAAAUUAUUUAACAAUUCAAUAUAGAAUUGAAAAGAAAUAUCAAGGAAGCCUAUCAAACAAGGCAAUUCGAUUCUCCAAAGUGGGUCCGAUGGACCACCACCUUGCCUUCUCGUCGCCCGUGGGAAGGAUUAGCCUUCGAAACAUCACAUAGCUAUCCAAAAGAGCAAGCUCACACUCCAACUCAGAGCAAGAGGACACCAUGGAACGGUGGCCUUGGCUUUUCUAGCACACCAUGAAGAUUCCACACUUCUUGCCUACCUUCCUAGAUAGCUUGAUCAAGUAACUCAACCCCCCCUCCCCCCUAAAAACAAAUUAGCCAUCAUAGUAAAUAAAUUUAAAGACGCUUGCCCAUAUACUUAUAUAUUAGAGAUAUCCCUUCUCCUUUUUUUUAUCCAUUUCUACUUCCAAGAGAAACUUCUCUCCCUCUAUGUGAUAUGGAUCUUGAAGAGUGGGAGCUACUACCCCAUGAUGGGUUCAUUGAUUACCAUGAAGAUGGUGAAAAGAAGACUUUUGGGGCAAGCAAACGUAGUAGUCCUCGUCGUCCCAAGAGCAUGGUCAACAUGAACUACUUCAUGUGCCCAUCUUCACCACCGAAAGAUUCUAGGCUAGUUCCUAAUCAACUUGUCCCGGUUCCAAUUCAGUUGGAGCCAACAACAACAGCUGGCAAGGAUGUCCCAGAAGGUCAUGUGAUCUCAAAAAAAGAAGUGAUCUCCGUGGUACCUAUUGACCUAGGUGCUGCGGUUCCUUCUGUGAUCAUGCCAGAAGUCAAAGAAGCUGAUCAAGACUCAGUUUCUCAAGUUUUCUUCAAGAAAAUGAAGGAAAACGAAUUUGUCGACAUGAAAUUGGACUCUCCAAAGUCCUCUAGCAGUAAGGGUGGCUUUGUGCCUCCUCAAAUUGAUGCUGGCGCUACUUUUAACUUUGAAGACCAAAGUGAUCAUCAGGGCUAUAAAGGUGAUCGGGAAUUGGAUGCCACCAAGAUUAGUUCUCCAAGGAUCAAGAGCACUGGAAAAGAAAGUGGUACAAAAGGGGAGGUGAGAUGGGAGGAGAAUGGUGGUGGCUUGAAUUUAUGGAAGUUGAGCUUAACUGGGAUUGGUGCUAUUUGCUCUUUUGGUGUUGCUGCUGCUACCAUCUGUAUUUUCAUCUUUGGAAGUCACCAGAGAAACAAGCAGCAACAACAGAACCAAAAGCCGAGCUUCCAGAUUUACACUGAUGACAAGGUUUGGAUUUUCUUUCUUUUUUUAUUUGACACUCUAUUUUAUUUCUCAAUCAGUCAUAUAUCUCUGAGCAUAUGCCAAUUGAGCAUGGAUCAUACGGUUGAUUUCUUAAUCUUGUUUUCCAUGAAGUACUAAAUAUUUAGAUCACAGAACUUGAAAAUAAGUAAUCAAAUGUAGCAUGAUCAAUCAUUUGUAUUUCAAACACAUUUUGAUUUACGCUCAUCCUUGCUAGUUGAUAUGACAUUUUUUCUCCCUCUCUCUUUGUGCUGGCAUAGUUUUUUAAAAAGGGAUUUGAAUUUAAAGUACUAUAAUCAAGGGGAAAAUGUGAUUAGUUAUCAGGGUAUGCUUUUGGCCAAGAUAUGACGAUCACUUUCACAGAGCAAAAACAGAGUAUACAUUUAUGAGGAGUGACAUGUAUGAAAACACCCCUAAUUACCCCAUUUUAUUUCUCAUGUCUUUUUUAUACUAAGAUUUUUCUUCAUUUUGGGGAUUCUUAAUCUAUAGUAUGCACUCACAACUGUGGUCACAGAGGAUUGAGCAAGUGGUUCACCAUGCAACAAAAAUGAAUGGAGCAAUUUCAGUCGCAAGAGGAGUACCUAUUGCUAGAGCUCACAUUACCUAUGGUGGUUACCAUGGUGGUAUCUGAGGCAGAAAUCCCAGUUGCUCCCCUGCGUCAAUUGUGGUUACUAAGCAAGUUUACAGAAUGAUUUAUAUACAUAGGCCCAUAGGGUGGUCUCCAUAUUUUAUACAUUAAAAAUAUGUGAUCUUUGUGUAGAUAAUAGAUUCCAGUGAAUCCUGUAUAUAUCUGAGAUCCCUGUGGAUGAGCCACUAGUUAAAUGCUGGUUUCUUGUACGUGUGAUUACAGCACUAGCUGAAAGUUUGUAUUGGGAUUGACCCAAAUAGUUAGUUUUCUGCUGCUACUCUAGCAAUACUCUCUCUUUUUUAUUUGUUAACUGUGAGUGUCUAGUGAGUUUACAGGUAUCUUAAUUAAUUUCUUGAAACCCUGGAGGUAAUGAAUAUAUAAAUUUCUAGUAGCUUUAAGUUAUUAGCACUUGAACUGAUAAUCUCUGAAUUACAAACCCGAAACCUAUACUCGAGAUUUACUCAAGCAAUAUACUUAAUUAAUGAUGGGAAUGCCUUGAACAAGUAACCAGAGCAAUUCCAUGUAUGUGCAGAUAAGGAUGAGCGUGGAUGCAGUCAACUGGUAGAAUCGUUUUUUAUUUGCUAGUUGGCCUCCGUUGUCACUUGUCAGAAAGCUCUUAUCCUCAAUGGCUAAUUGUCCUUGUUUGUUCUGAAUUUGAAUAUUUUCUUCCUCUUUUGGAGACUGCUGUAGGUGGUUUUAAUCUUGAAUAUAUUACACCAGCAGGCCAAAUGGUCGUCACGGAUUAAGCUUGCGAGAUGCACGUCAUUGCCAUCCAAUGAGAUUUCUCUUGCAAGCUCUUUAAGAUAUUUGUGAAAAAGAAAUGAAAAUGACUGAUUGAACAACACAGCAAUCCAAGCAAACGAGAUUUAUGGAGUCGUGACCCCCUUGAGAAAGUGAAUGCUUUAGCAGACAAGAUUGGUGCCAGAUGCUCAGUCUUGAAGGGAUGAUAGGAUUGUGAUGCAAUCCACAUUCUUUGAGUACUCUCAAAUUUUUUGCAAGAAUCUUUAAAUAGCAAAAACUUGAACCCACAAUGAGAUUUUAGAUCUAAGAUUUAAAAUGUCCCAAAAAUGAAUUAAUAGAAAACACUUUAACUAGAAACUAAAGCAAAAACAAAGGGAAAAUGACAAUUAAAGGAAAGGAAAUGGAGGGGAUGUCGGGGUUGAUAUAAUUUUGAUUAUUUAUAUAAUUAAUUGUUUAGUGGUUUUUGUUUUCAAUUAGAUAUUAAUGUUUAAAUUUUUUUAUUGAUUGAUAGUGAAUUUAGAAAAUUUAUAUCCUAAAACUAAAAUAAGAAAUUAAUAAGUUUUUUUAACAUAUAUAAUAUAUUUUAUUUUCUCCAUGCAUAUCGGAUUUAAAUUCUUAAUUACUCUUGAUUUUUGAAUGAAAUACUAUUGCAUUCCUUUAUUUUGUAAAUUUAUCAUGAAAAAAAGGUUUAAUUUAAAUGUAAUAAUUCAAUAUGCAUUUUAUUCAAUAUGUAUAUUAAAGUAAUAAUCAACUCAAUGACUUGUGUCAGAUUUUUUUGCUUAUUUAGAAACUCUAGCAUUGCUUGAACGUUUUUCUUAUUAUGUUUAAAAAAGUUUGACCCGGCUCACGGUGUUGCGCCGAUCAUCUAUAUUAGUUUAUUCAAGUUAUGUUCUUGGAUUCUUUUUUAAUUUAUAAUUUUUUUUGUUUUUAGCCUUCAAUAUUUAGUUCAUUAUAGUUAGAUUUUCUAAUUUGUUUCAAUAUAUGUUUCAUGGUUUUAUCACAAUAUCAUAUUCUAGAUUCCGAGUUUUACAAGUUAAUCAUGGUUGAUUCAAUAAUCAACUGCCUCAAUAUUUUUAAAAAAAUAUAUCAUCAUUUAAAUAUUUCAUAGGUAUGCAUUAGUUUUUUUUUUUACUUCUUAACAUUUUAUAUCUUUCUUAAGGUUGAAAAAAAAAUUGAUAUGACAUGUAGAAAAAUGAUUUAAGGAGUGUAGUUGCGGUUGCUUUUAAAAGUGUUUUUCAUUCGGAAAUGUAUUAAAAUGAUAUUUUUUUUUAUUUUUUAAAUAUUAUUUUUUAUAUCAGUUCAUCAAAACGAUCUGAAAAUAAUAAAAAAAUAUUAAUUUAAAGUAAAGAAAAAAUAAAAAAAAUAUAAUUUUUUUCAAAAACACUUUAAAACACAAAAACAAACAGGGUAGAUUCAAAUGAAUUUGUAACGUUGUUGCCGGUGAGGUUUCUAAUUUGAUCAAAAAAAAAUUUCUUCGUGCGUCUCCAUUGUUUUUUUUUUUUUUUUUUUUGCUAUAACACUUUCUUUUACAUCUACGGUUAUAAUUUGGUACGAGUUUUAUUUCUUAAUAUUGUGUAAAACAAUAUUUUCAAUAUUCUUUUAUAUAGUGCUAUAGAAAAGAGUGGUUCGUUGAAAUUAAUGUAAAAACUUUAAUGUGAUAAUGCUUCUUUGUUGGCCUCUACUGUUUUGUGCAUUAACUUUUCAUUGACUUUUAACUAAUUUUAUGGAAUUGAAAAAGUUUUCAUUAAUUAAUGAUGAAACGUAUACUAUUUAUUUCAUGUUUGUAGCUUUCUUUAUGUUCUUUUGUACUUUUUUUCCCCUUCUCAAUCCUUGUCUAUCAAGUUUUGUACGGAGAUAACAAAUUGACAUAAAUAUACUUGAUUUUUUUUUCCUUCUCCUUAUAUAUUUUUUAAUUCUCAAAACAUUAAACAUCACACAAAAAUCGUUGAAGCUUCACAUUUUAUUUGUUUUUACAUUUUAAAAGUCUUUUUAAAAAAUUUAAAUUUUUAUUUACUUCAAAUUAAUAUUUUUUGAUGUUUUUAAAUCAUUUUAAUUUGCUAAUAUCAAAAAUAAUUUUUAAAAAUAAAAAAAAAUAUUAUUUUAAUACAUUUUCAAGUAAAAAACACUUUGAAAAGCAAUUGCAACCACAAACAAACCCAAUUCACGAUAAGAAAAUCUUUGUAAAUCUUAUUUUAGUCGAUUUGUUUUUUUUUAAUUUCCCUCAUCUUUCAUACUUAUUUCAUAUCUUAGACAUUAAAGCAUAGUUAUUAAACCCGACCCGGGGGUUGACCCGGCCAAGCAGCCGGGUCCCAGGUUUCAUGGGUCAACCUGGAUUAACCCAGAAAAAUUUAAAAAAAAAUUAAAGUUUUAAUAUUUCAUAUGAAAAAAUCCAUGUAAAUAUAGAUUAUACAUAUUAUGAAGUUUAAAAGAAUAUUUUAAAAAAACAUUUAUCCCACAUUAAAAAGAUAUUAUGUUAAGCUUUUAAGUUAAAGUAUUUAAAUUAAAAUUUUUUUUUAUCCCACAUUGAAAAAACAUAACUUUUUUCAUGGGAACAGUAUACAUAUGAGAAGGUUUCAAAUCCCACAUUGAAAAGAUAAUAUAUUAUCUUUUUAAGUUGAAGUAUUUAAACCAAAAAGUUUUUUAUCCCACAUUGAAAAAACAUGAUUUUUUUUUCUUGGAACAUAGAGUAUAUAUACUAAUGGGUUUCAAAUCCCACAUUGAUAAAAAAAACAUGAUUUUUUUCACCCGGGCUGUUGCCACAGCCGGUCUUUUAUUAAACUCGGACCGGUCCAGCCACCGGGUUGACCCACCAAGCCGGGCCAGGUUUAAUAACAAUUCAUUAAAGGUGGAAUUGCAAAGUUUUCAUUCAUUAAUGAUGAAAUGUAUACUAUUUAUUUCAUGUUUGUAGCUUUCUUUAUGUUUUUAUGUCCUUUUUUUUCCCUUCUCAAUCCUUUUCUAUCAAGUUUUGUACGGAGAUAACAAAUUGACAUAAAUAUUCUUGAUUUUUUUUUUCCUUCUCCUAGUUGUAUAUAUAUUUUUAAAUUCUCAAAACAUUAAAAAUAGCAUAAAAAUCCUGACGUGAGUUGUUCGGAUCAGCUUGCAAGCACCUCGACUAAUCCUCACGGCUCUUAAAGUUAAUGAUCAGGUAAACCUCUAGUGACCAUCAAUAUUUGCAACCAUAUAGCUCGAACCUGAAAUCACAGGAAGAACAAACUUUUUGAUCCCAACCUCUUACCACUGAGUCACUUAUUAUAUCGUUACUUGAUUUUUUUUUACAUCUCCUUUUUAUAUAUACAUUUUUUAAUUCUCAAAACAUUAUAAAGAUCACACAAAAAUCCUCAAAGUUUCAUUAUGUUUUAAUCUUUUACGAGAUAAGAAAAUCUUCACAAAUCUUAUUUUACUCAAUUUUUUUUUUAAUUUCCCUCCAUCUUUCAUACUUAUUUCAUAUCCUAGACAUUAAAGGUUGUUUAAAAAUUCUAGAGGCCUUAUUAAUGUUUUAACAUUUUUUUAUAUACACAAAUUCUACAAGGGACCCGUCUCAUUUUGUGUUUUUAUUUGCGUAUAAAACAAUAUGAUAAGUUAAUAAUCUUACUAUUAUAUAUGGAAUACAAAUAGAUAAGUCAUAAGUAGCAUGUAUUUUGCAUAAUCUCGAGUAAGCAUUUCGGUACCAUAUGGUUGAAACUUUGCUAACAACAAAAACGACACCGUUUAUUUUGAUAUAAAAGAUGCACACUGGAUGAACAUAAAAUUGCUCAAGCUUGAAAGGGUAUUUUAUUAGAAAGAAACUAAAAAGUAUGGUGUUUUCUUUGUAGAAAUUUAUGGUGAUAUUUUUUUUUUAUCAUCAAACUUUAUUUUUCUUUAAUUACAUCCUUUUAUGUCCCAAUUCAUGAUCAAUUUUAUCAAGAAUUGGUAAGGAAGAAUAAAAUUGAAACAAAGGAAACCAAAGUGUACAGAAAAGAAAAAAAGGGUGACAUUUUAAAACAUUAUACAAAACUUCACUUUGAUCCUUUUAUUUUCUAAACUAUGACUUUUUGGUUACUCAAUAUUUCAGAAACUCAAUUGUGGUAAAAAAAACUAUUUUUCUUAUUUUUUAAUCAUUUGAGAGAAAAAAAAGAAGGAAAAAUAACUGGAUUCCAAUUGUAGAAAAAAAAUCAAUUAACACAAUUCCAAUCAUGAAAAUGAUGAUUUUUGUAUCAACAGAUUUUAUUCCAUCAGGAUGAUUUCGGCUAGGUGUUGUUUGUCCUUUCCAUCACUUAAAAUGAUAGAUUUGAGGUUUUUCACGCCAUUUAUGCAUAUCUGUGGCAAGGUGAGAAGGUAAAAGGUUGCGCUUUCACAUCAAAUGUAAAUUAUAUCCAUUCACAGCCAUUGAUGGGAAGAGAAAUCCCUCGCCCAAUCUGCGUUUUCGUAGAAAGAAAUUUUAAGCAAAACAAUAGCACAGGAUGAUAUGAAGAAAGUUAAAUGUAACAAAUGGGUAUCAAGGCCUCAGAAUUGCAGAAAAUGUCUGUCAGAAGACUCAUUCGAGUCAUUCAGUCCCGAAAGAUGGUUUGGUGAAUGAUAUCAUCAUCGGCCCACCCAAUAAACAUGCACAAAAUCAACAAUCAAACCGUAUGCACUAAACUAAAUCCAGCAUUCAUGGAUUUACUGUGCAGAAUAGUGAAUUUAGACCCAACAUUCCAACACAAAAGGAUGUAUCUAUACAUGUCUGAAUUCACCUAAAAGUAAGGAACAGAGAAGACAUGUUAUGCUCCUUUCCCUCAAACUGGCUCGGGAAAACUCUUAUUAUCAGCCUCAGGCGAGACCAAAUGGGGCAUCUCCUAUUCUGAAUACCCUUUGAUUUUGUGAGGCUAAUAAUUUAAUCCCUCUUGGAACCAAUUAACCCUCUCAAUCUCAAAACUAGAAAAAGAAUAAAAAAAUCAAUAAAUAUUCGAAUCCAAACUAUAAAAGGAACACAGAAAUAGAAGUUCCGUACCCUCUCAAAAGAGAUCCAGAUUGUUGUACGCCUCUGUCUGAACCAGACGGUAUUGUCUUGUUAAGAGACCUUCUGGUUAUUCGAAGGCAUUAUUACAAUAAAAAUUAAAAGAUGAAAUAAAUUAAGGAAUGUCAAAGGCUGCUUGGAGGACAACUGGUAAUGAAAAGAGCAAAAUUGUCCCCUCAAACGGGCCUUAGAUUGAAACGACCGAAGACAAAACAUCUUUCGAUCUAAUUUGAUUUCUGCCUCCUAACUAAGCCAGCUAUGAAAUUGUUUCUCAAUUCAUAUGGCUACUCAAAGAGGCAGUGGAAAUUGAAGACAUGAAUCUGUAAUUGAAAUGGAAGAGAGAGUGCAGUAACAGAGACGGAGUUCGGGCUUGGCUUUUAAGGAUGGGGAUUUAGGGUUUCUUCUGGAAUAUAGAAUUACAAACAUGCCCUUUUAAGAUAGUCAUCCAGGUUUUAGUCCUGCACAAUUCUAGAUUAUUUGAAAAUGUUGUUUUAUUGAAAAUAUAUUAAAAUAAUAUUUUUUAAAAAAUAAUUUUUUGUAUUAAUAUAUUAAAAUAAUAUAAAAACAUUAAAAAUAUUAAUUUAAAAUAAAAAAAUAACUUUUUUUAAAAAAAUACUUUUGAAUUACAAAAACAAGUAAAUACGUUUUAUUUAUAUUUUUAUUUUAUGUAAAAUAUUUUCUUAUUAACAAUGUUGUUUUUAAAAAAGUCCAAAAUAAUUGAAAUAAAUAUUUUAAAAAAAUCUCAGUAAUUCAAUCAAGGAGUGAAAAAAAUAUUUUUGAAGGUAAAAUUCUCAUUUUCUUAUAAAAUGUUUUUGGAUGAAAACAUAUUUUUUAUUAGUAACAUAUUUUUAUAAAGUAAAAACUUAUCAAAAAUGUAAAAGGAAAUUUUUUUUUAAAAAAAAAUCUCUUUUUUAUAUGGCUGUAAAAAGUUUAAUCUCGUUUAAAGUAUGACAUAAUCGAUGAUUUUAUAAAUAAGAUUGUAAUUUUUACAGGGGACAUGUUAACGAACUAUAUGUAAAAAAUAAUAGCAUAAUUAAUAAAUUCAAUAAUAACAAGUUUUAUUUUCUUUAUUUCAAAGUAAUAGCAGCAGUAAAAUAUGAACUUUACUUUUUUUUCCACUUUAAAUAAGCUUCGAGAUCAUUUUUGCUUUGAAAAGCUAGAAUCUUCAUUUAAAUACUUUCUAAAUUUUUAACCAAGUCAUCCUAAAACCCAUCCUCCCUAUUUAUCCCCAUAUGGAAAAAAUUUCUCAAGUGGUUGAACUCUCCCGGACUUUUGGUUUUUAUAUGACCAUAACAUAUCAUCAUAGUUAUCAUCAAAAUCAUUGGUCUUUAUAUAUAUACACAACUAUAGAUUCUUCUAGAGGUAAAUUAGCUCGUCUCACUAACUUUUUUCUUUCCAAACCUUUAUGGCCUAAUCCAUCUUAAAAACUGGUCACUUCAAUUCUUAAACCAACCAUCUCAUUUAUUACUUCGAUAAACUUUGUAUCUAUCAACUCCAAUUAUUGUCAUGACCAAAUAACCCUAUUCAAGAUUUUUUUUUAAUUUUUUAAUGGUGAUGAUCCAUUUUUAGUUGACAUUGUCGAGAACUAAAAAUUAAGUUAGUAGCAUAUAUAUAUAAGUUUUUUUAUUCUUAUAUUAAAAGUGAAUAAUAGAAAUUAUUAUCCCUAAUAAUAUUUUGGAUAUUAAUCUUUUUGUUGGUGUUUUAUCCUUACAUUAAAAGUGAACAAUUUAUUUUCUUGUCAAAAAUAUAUUUUUAAUAUUUUUAAAAUAUAGGCCAAAGUCCUUUGAAAUUUUACAAAUUGGAUGUAAAAUCUAUGCAAUGCUUUUUUAUGCAAAAUUAUUUUUUGAAUUUUUUCCUUAAUUUUUAAGACAUGCUCUAAUAUUUUUUUUAGGGUUUUUGUCCAUAUGCAAGGAAAUUUAUUUAUUAUUAUUUUUUAAAACAUUUUUUUUAAUUUUCCUUAUUUUUUAAGGCUUUGUUUGGCGUAAUCUCAUUUUUUCUUUAAAUAAAACUGUUAAAAUAGACUCAAGAGCAUGUUUGCUAAACACACCCUUAUGCCAAAACAUCCUUUAUCAAAAAAAUUAAAAACAAAACAAAGCCUUACCCAAAUGACCCAAAUUUGACCCGAUCGGGUUGACUUAAAAUUUUUAGUUCGAUCAUAAACUAAACAAAAAACACUGGUUUGACCUGAAAAACAACUCAAAACCAAAAUCAAAACGUAAAACGAAUCAGAGUUGUAAAAAAUACAAAAACUUAAUUUUUUUUAAUUAAAACGAAUCAAACACAGAAAACUCAAGAACAUGAACAUUCAAAGCAAACCUAGCCACAUGAAUCUCAAAUCCGACCAGAUACAACGAAGUCAAAGGCAUAUGCAUGUUGUAAAUCAUUCAAAAAACAAUAAUCGAGCAUCAAACAUCAACGAUUAUCAACCAAUAAUAAUGUUUUGACCAAAAUAGAAUUCAGUGCAAAAACAAAACCGUAAGAUUAAAACUAAAAAAAAAAAAAAAUUGAUGCAAACUAACCCUAAUUUAUUGAUUGAUCAAGUCUCACGAAGUGGCUGGUGCAAAAAAAUGAAUCAAAAUUAGUCCAAAUCAUUGAGUUAAGACAAUGUUUUUUGUAAAAACAUGAAAAAUCAAAACCUAGAUUUGCCAAAAAAUGCAUCAGCUACCAUCAAACCCAGAAAUUUGCAUUCCAAUCCCCAAAAUCAAGAUUUUUUGGUAUGCUAUUAAUGAAAAAAACCAGAAAGUAUUUAAUAAAAAAGAUUAUCUUUUUCACAUAUAAAAAGAGGGGGCCCCAGCUUUUUUAGUAUAUUAUUAAUGAUAUGAUAAUAAAAACAGAUGCCUGCUAAAUUUAGCAUUAACAAAAUACUAAGAUAUUUAUUUAUAUUGUGAUAACCUCAUUUAAAAUUAAUAAAUAUUAAAUGAUAAAAUUAAAUAAUAAUAAUAAAUCAUCUCCUUCACUAUUCAUGUAAUUAAUGAAAGAGGUGCGAAACCCAACUUUUUUACCAUGGUAGUUAAUAAGCUUUACAUUGUGCUUAGGAAAACCAAAGUCCACUAGAAUCGGUUCCAAGACCCCAAUCAACUCUGUCAAAAGCCAUCUCAAGAUUUGUUUCAAGACAAAGAGCAUCAUCUUUUUUUUUUCUUCUAAAAUUUAAAAUUAUAUUUCGAUUGUUUUUUAAAGUUUUUUUUUAAAUAUAUUAAAAUAAUAUUUUUUUUAUUUUUAAAAAUUUAUUUUUGAUAUUAACACCUUUAAAAAUUUAAAAACACCUUUAAAACAUAAAAAUAAAAAUGCUUUAAAACAAGUUAAAAUGCCAUAGAAUUUGUGUUUUUGAAAAAAAAGUUUCCAGAAGAGAAUUAACCAUUGAACGUUAAAUUCUGCGUUGGCAAACCAGUGCCAAUCACUCCUCUCUAAUUUAUAGGAUUGUUUCAUCAUUGGAGGAGUGGCAUUAUAAAGGGAGGGAAUACCAACGUCCUAAUAAUUCAUAUAUAUAAAUAAGAAAAACAAUUAUUUAAAUACAUAAAAUGUUAAAAUAGAUUAACCAAUAUGAACAUCACAUGAAAAAAUAUACACGCAAGCUAGCUCGAACACCAACAUUAAACUAAAAAAAAAAAUAAUGGAGAUCGCGAAAGAUUCAUAUGCACUAGCUACCUAGCUGGCUGGCUUAACAAACAAUAAAUAAAACAGAAGAUUGCUCUAGCGAUCUUGCUUAGAAGUUAAAAGACAUUAAGAAGGCUUGUCGAUGAAUAUAAAAAUGUUAGUUGAGUUGGAAAUGUACAUCCAAGAUGUAUUCUUUGAAGCAUCUUUUAUAUAUAUAUAUAUAUAUAUAUAUAUAUAUAUAUAUAUAUAUAUAUAUAUAUAUAUAUAUAAACUAAGUUUUUGCAAUUCAAGUUCCCCUGGCCACUAAUGAUAAAGAUGGGUGUUUGUUGUGCGGUGUAAAUCGUGUUUUUAAAAAUUUUAAAUUUAUUUUGCUUCAAAUAUUUUUCUUUAAAUCUUUAUAUUAUUUUGAUAUUUAAUAUCAAAAAUAAAUUUUUUAAAAUAAAAAAUUUUAUUUUAAUAUAUUUCUAAACAAAUAGUACUUUGAACAGUUACCGCUAUUACAAUCCAAAAAAAAGCUCUUACUAUUAGUAUUAGGGUUAUAGUAUAAUUUUUUUUAAUUUUAAAAUAAUAUAUUUUUAUAUAAUAUAUCAAAACAAUUUAAAAUUAUAAAAACAUUCAAAUACUCUUAAAAAUACUUUUUAAACAUGAAAAUAAACGUAUGGUUGGCUCCGGCCCUCCAUUUUCUAAUGGUAGAAAAAGCAUCAUGGCACAAAUAUUGAGAGGCUUACCAUAAGUACGGAGAGUUCAUUAUUACAUAUUUUAUUAAAUUUACUUGGUAGCUGUAUAUGUUUCAUACCUUUUAUCAUUAUUUUUUUGGUGUAAUAUCCUUCUGAUUCAAAAACCGUAAAAAUGAGGGCUUUUCUAUGUAUUUCAACAUAGGAAUAAAACUAAGUCCUGGAGAAGACGUGCUCAUUAUUUGCCUACUCUUUGCAUCACGACCCAAGGAAGAAAAGAACCAUGCAUUCUCUUGAUUGCCCACAAGAAAUAACUUCUUGAAUUUCUUUAUCUUAAGAAAACAUUCUGGAAUUCGGACGCUAAAAAAGAGAAAUCUACAUGCAUUCAUAAGCUUAUAUAUAACAAUGGAGUACAAGAACAAAAAAAUGAAGUCACAGACAAACAAAUCACAUCAAUUAUAAUACAAAGUAAUAAUUGGUUACAACAAUAUGAAUAUGUUUGGCCAAAAUGGCCAUGAAGAGGAAGAAAAAUAAUGAAAAAGUCGAAGAAAAAAACACCCUCAAGCCCUUUUGCCCCCUCGAGUCCCAUCCAUGCAUGUAAAACCCUGACAAAUCCCUAUACCAUCUGGGGCAAAAGGGCUUCAAACAAAUAAAUCAAAAGGCGAAGAAAAGAAAAGAAAACAAAGAUGCAUCAAUCUCACAUUUAGAAAAGGAGCUGCCCAAAUGCAAGAGCAACGAGAGAAGCAAGAACAGCCGGCACAAAAGUGGUGGCAUCGGAGGUAGGGCUAGGUGCUGGGGCCUCCGCUGCUGCUACAUUUUGGACGGCUGAAACAGCCAUGAGCACAACCACGAUAGCCAAAAACACUCUCAUCUUCAAUGCCUCCAUUGUGAAAAACUUUCUUGCUGGAAAAAACAGAGGCGUGGAGGGAGAAGAGAAAAUGCAAGAUUUCAGACAACGG
rnacentral:lncRNA from 1 species